GAGAGCGGUUGUCGCCGGUUGCCG
rnacentral:siRNA from 1 species